UCGGUAUCGUCUUCUAAAGAUUUUGCAAGAUUUUUAGAAAACGAUAUCGAGCUAAGAGCUACGAAUCAAAUUCAAUUCACAACUCCAUUUAUUUUAUAUUUUUAAGAACACUUGUGAACAAGUUAUAAUUUUUGCUACAUUAUGUCAUUCAUGAGCUCGGUUCGUGUAAUGCAUUGUGGCAGAUAACAAAUUAAUCAAUCAUGUAAUGACUUGUGUUAUCGAUAAGAUCAAUUUUGGUUUAAAAAAUUUGCCACUGAAGUUUGAUUUCUGAUUAAAUUUUGUAGAAGGAAAUUGAAAUAAAAUAUUAAUAAAUAUAUAGGAUAUUAAUCGAUAAAAUUGAUAUUUGAUUUUUUACAGAAAUGGAGCUAAUGGCGCCAUCUUUCUGCGAAGAGGAGUGUCUACACUUUCUGAUUAGCACACUUGUCUCUCUUGUCGAUGACAUAGGGAACGACAUAAAAAUGUCGAGCAUGAAGUUUCACCAAUUUUGCUGCUUUCGUUAUCUCUUAUCAUGGAAACACACCGACAUACAGUAUCAUAGCGACAGAGUUUCCGAUAAAAAUUGAAUGAUUCGUUGCCAGAUGACGCAGUACCAUAUUUCCUCCAUAUCCCACAAAAAAGAUAAAUGCGCCGUACACUGUAGAGAUAUUGCAUCGUCAAAUCGCAAUUGGAACUUACAUCGUUGCAAUCGAAGCUGUAUAAAUGCAUA